UACACUUUUCGUGUCCCCUUAGAAAAAGACAAUAAUACCCUCCUACCCCAGACUUCGGUCGAAACCCUAGAGAUUCACUAAGCGCCCAAUCUCUCCCUCCUCUCAACUCACGCCUUUUCUCUCUCCUCUCAACUCCAUGGUAAUUCUGCACAUCCCAAACCUCCCCCCGUCUUCUUCCCCGGUCACUGAAGAACCCUAACCAAUUUCGAAGAUCAAUGAAAAAUCAUUGAUGGUAAGGUUCACCCUUUUCCCUCUCAAAUAGCAAUGGUGUUUUCUCAUGCUUUUAAUGGCGGAAUUCUCCAUCGAAAAACUCAUCUUUGAGCUGUACAACGUGACAUAUGAUCAUCGAUCACUUAUCAUCGCCGGACGCCGUCGUAUUCUCAUCUCCGCCGGCAUCACUACCCUCGCGCCACUCCCCAGAUGUGGCUUGAUUUGAUUGCAAAGGCAAAAGAAGGAGGUGUGUGAUUGAAACAUACACAUUUUGGAAUGGACCUAAGCCUGUGAGAGGAGAGGAGACUGGGACAAAAUUACUUGACAGCCUAUGUUUCUCCAGGGAUAGAUUUCCCUUUCUCUCUCCUCUCCCAUGUUAACGGAGAUGGUAAAGUAGCUGCUGCUUAUUAUUUUAAGAACUUGAUUCAACGAAAUGUUCAUGGGAAGGUCGAUCGGGUUCUUUUAGUCAGGAAUUUAAGGAGAUGCUAUUGGAAUCGUUAAUUCGAGCGGAAUUUCCGGUUCUUAGUUUUGUUGUUGAUGCUGAAUUUGUAAAGAAGAAUUCAUGGCCUGAACUUGCUCUAUUGUUUCCACUUCUCAUCAGUGACACUGCGAUGAUAGCUGAGAUAGGAGACUCAUUGUUCAAUUGUCAGAAGUUGAAGUUAAAGGAUGCGGGUAUCCUUUAUCAAUGUGAAUAAUUAUUGUUGGUUUUAUUUUUUUCUAUGGGGUUGUAUGAAUAAUAGGAUUAGGGUUUCCAGUGGCCCUACUCUUGGUUAUGCUCAAGAUGUUCCUGAGAAUAGGGUCCUUGCUUUCAUAGGCUGGAUGGAUUUGUUUGAAAUGAAUUCUAAGACGGUAGCAGAACACUGCAGUAGAACAUAGCAGCUGCUACAUCAUUAGCCAACAACGUACUCUGGGAAAAACAGAAGAAAACAGCAGCACCUGCACUUCUUAUAUGUGCAGAUUGGUUCUUCUGGUAGUUUUUGGUUCAGCAGCUGCAGGUGCAGUUUGAUUUUCAUACUUUUGAUAUGUGCAGAUUUGUGUUAGAGUGUUUGCAGACUGUUUGUUCUGUUGUUACAGUCUGCUGCUAUGGGUUGUUCAUUCCAGCUGUUUCAACUGUUGUUUUUCUUCUGUUUUUCCCAGCAGCAGCUGCGGCUGAGGGUUAUCUUUUUUUUCCCUUUCAGCUUUGCUUAUGCGUAUGUUACUUUGUUACACUUACGUUUUUACCUUCAUUGCAGUUAUUGUUGUGGUUGGCGGUUUUUUAAGCAAAAUCUGUUUUGGUGGACUGGUUAGGUAACUGAACAACAUAAAUCGACAAUGCUGCGAUGUGACCAAAAGACUAUCAUCUUCUUGAUCCACACGAGUGGAGAUACUACUGAGGUUGAGAUCCAUGACGGUCCACAAUGUCAUAAAAACUGGAACUAAACUGCACUUGAGAGAAGACAAUCAAUGGAGAAAAGAGGGAGAAGAACUAAAGAAUUGCUUCAUGAGAGAAGCCGAGUGGUCAUGAACUUGCGAGUUUGGAUUUUGAUUAGUGACUUCCUUUUCCGCCAUUUUGUAUUCUUAUAUUCUCUCUCCUCUGGUGCAGGAAUUACGGCUGAAUCAUCCUUCAAGUUUCACGGCAAAACAAAAGAUAGGGUAAUGAAAGAAAAAGGUGAAACACUUGGGUAGAGUUUUGUAUUCAGGCUAUUGUCUUUUUUGAAAGCUUCUUUGUUUGGGCUCAAUAUUUAAGCCCAAUGUUGGCCUUUAACGGGUUUACGUUAGCAUCAUUAUGUUAAGUUUCUAUCACUUCAUAAUUACUUUUAUUCAGCUACAUAAUUUAUUCUUAUGUGAUAUAGAUGUUCA